rnacentral:sRNA from 1 species
UGAACACAGCUGGUGGUAUCUCAGUAUU